UACGGAGGGGGCAAGCGUUAUUCGGAAUCAUUGGGCGUAAAGGGUGCGUAGGCGGGUCUUUAAGUCAGGGGUGAAAUCCUGGAGCUCAACUCCAGAACUGCCUUUGAUACUGAAGAUCUUGAGUUCGGGAGAGGUGAGUGGAACUGCGAGUGUAGAGGUGAAAUUCGUAGAUAUUCGCAAGAACACCAGUGGCGAAGGCGGCUCACUGGCCCGAUACUGACGCUGAGGCACGAAAGCGUGGGGAGCAAACAGG
rnacentral:rRNA from 1 species